rnacentral:rRNA from 1 species
GAUGAACGCUGGCGGCGCGCCUAAUACAUGCAAGUCGAGCGAACAGAUGAGGAGCUUGCUCCUCUGACGUUAGCGGCGGACGGGUGAGUAACACGUGGAUAACCUACCUAUAAGACUGGGAUAACUUCGGGAAACCGGGGCUAAUACCGGAUAAUAUAUUGAACCGCAUGGUUCAAUAGUGAAAGACGGUUUUGCUGUCACUUAUAGAUGGAUCCGCGCCGCAUUAGCUAGUUGGUAAGGUAACGGCUUACCAAGGCGACGAUGCGUAGCCGACCUGAGAGGGUGAUCGGCCACACUGGAACUGAGACACGGUCCAGACUCCUACGGGAGGCAGCAGUAGGGAAUCUUCCGCAAUGGGCGAAAGCCUGACGGAGCAACGCCGCGUGAGUGAUGAAGGUCUUCGGAUCGUAAAACUCUGUUAUUAGGGAAGAACAAAUGUGUAAGUAACUAUGCACGUCUCGACGGUACCUAAUCAGAAAGCCACGGCUAACUACGUG